GACGAACGCUGGCGGCGUGCCUAAUACAUGCAAGUAGAACGCUGAAGGAGGAGCUUGCUUCUCCGGAUGAGUUGCGAGCGGGUGAGUAACGCGUAGGUAACCUGCCUGGUAGCGGGGGAUAACUAUUGGAAACGAUAGCUAAUACCGCAUAACAGUAGAUAUUGCAUGAUAUCUGCUUGAAAGGUGCAAUUGCAUCACUACCAGAUGGACCUGCGUUGUAUUAGCUAGUUGGUGAGGUAACGGCUCACCAAGGCGACGAUACAUAGCCGACCUGAGAGGGGGAUCGGCCACACUGGGACUGAGACACGGCCCAGACUCCUACGGGAGGCAGCAGUAGGGAAUCUUCGGCAAUGGACGGAAGUCUGACCGAGCAACGCCGCGUGAGUGAAGAAGGUUUUCGGAUCGUAAAGCUCUGUUGUAAGAGAAGAACGAGUGUGAGAGUGGAAAGUUCACACUGUGACGGUAUCUUACCAGAAAGGGACGGCUAACUACGUG
rnacentral:rRNA from 1 species